AAAAAAAGAAAAAGAAAAACCUCCAAAUGCCUCUUGACAAUUAAAAGAACAAAAAACAAAUCUUUGCCUCCAUAUAAAACCAACUAGACACCUUAUGCAAUACAUAAUCAGCGCCUGCAUAAAACCAACUUGACACCUAGAGACAACAAGAUGUUCCAUAGCAACCCUUUCAUCUCUUCCAAUGAUGGAGAAAACAAAAGGCAUUCUUGCAUAAAUACUUGCUGCUGUUUCCAGCAUUUAAAAUGAACUUAUGAUAAAAACCAUGACAAAACAUCUUUGCAAAAUCAGCAGCUGUCUUCCAAAAAGUUAAAAACAUCAGAGAAAGUUCCCCUGAUUCUGUCAUUGACUCUACCUAUACUUUAAAUUAAAGGUAAAAAUACAAGUUCACAUGGACUCGAAGAAUUUUGACUGCCAGCAAGUUAAGGGUAAAGCAUUUUUACAUACCCUCUUCA
rnacentral:misc_RNA from 1 species